CAAGUCGAACGGCAGCACGGGAGCUUGCUCCUGGUGGCGAGUGGCGGACGGGUGAGUAACGCGUAGGAAUCUACCCAGUAGCGGGGGAUAGCCCGGGGAAACUCGGAUUAAUACCGCAUACGCCCACGGGGGAAAGGCCGGGAUCUUCGGACCGGUCACUAUUGGAGGAGCCUGCGUAGGAUUAGCUAGUUGGUGAGGUAAAGGCUCACCAAGGCGACGAUCCUUAGCUGGUCUGAGAGGACGAUCAGCCACACUGGAACUGAGACACGGUCCAGACUCC
rnacentral:rRNA from 2 species